rnacentral:lncRNA from 1 species
GUGGUCAUAAACCUUGUGUUUAAAUUUCAUAAUUUCUAUUUACUUAUACUAAAGUUAUUGUACAACCAGAUGCUCGCAGGGCGCAGCUUUAUACGACCGCAGAGGUUGAACCCUGAACGGUUGGGGCAAGUAUGGACACAACAUUCAAGCUGGAUUCAGCUCUAAAUUUGGAUUGUGAUUAAAUAGUUGACACAGCAUAGGUUUCAGACACAGAAUGAAUGUGGUCUAAUGAACUUAAAAUAUUCUUUUUGCCUUUGAGCAAUUCACUAUGCUGUUGAAUAUUAAUCCUCUCAAAAAAAUGUUUGAAGAAAUUUUCUUUUUAUUUAUGAAAUCUGAAAUGAGAAAAAUUGAACCCCCCCCCCCCCCCAUUUUUUU